UUUCCAAAGUUCCAAGGAAAAAGGCUUCGUUUCUGAGGUGAAACUUUUCAGCAACGAAAAUACGUCAAGGAAUAAUAAACUACGUACUUUCAUUACUAACGAAUCGCUCCCAGUUUUCAUCGGUCAGAUUGCCCCAGGAGCCGUCCUCGGGAAAGUUCUUUAUACACUUUUGCGUGAGCACCCCCAUAUAAAUCUGGAGGCCCAUCAGCGCAAAGACGGAAAGAGAGAACAUCGUCAAGAUUAUCACAUCGCGCAGGUUCUUCACGGAUUCUAUCACAGCGCCGACAAUGGUUUUCAGACCUGGCGAACGAAACAAAAAAGGGGACCAGAUGGAUUUCGUGUGGAAAAAGAGAAAAAGAUAGAUAGAUGAUAAUGGAUCGACCGAAGAAACGGAUGGAAGGAUCAUCAAAUUAAUAUAUUGUCUCUUUUCUGUAAAAAAAAAAAAAGUGGAGGAGAUCAUCAUCGAUGAAAUGAAAAUGAGGAACAAGAAGGAGAUAAUAGAUGCUGCUAGCAGAAGGGGACAAUUGCUUCUUGGAAAAUUGAAAAAAAAAAAAAAAGAAAAAAAAAUCAUGAUGUUCAAUUUAGGUGGAAUGAUCUUUGAUCCGAUGAUCGUGUCGAAAGAUGCAAGGUUGGCGAGCAAAAAAAAUGACGCACGAAAAAAAUGUACAGAUGAUUAAUAUAGGCGUUUCGUCAGACAGAUAGACAUAAGUGAGAGAUUAAAGAGAUAUACAGAGAGGUAAUUAUUAUAAUAGAAUAUAGGCGUUGUGUAGGUGAUGAUAUGCGAUAGAAUGUAUGUGUGUAACAGCGAGCCGCGGCAAAAGUGUAUAUCUAUU